GUGCUCCACAGCCCCAGGACUGGUUGGGGGGCCAGGCAUGGGGCCUUCGGGAGAGCUGGCCUGGGCCUGCCCUCCUGGACAAUGUCAAGAGCAGUGCCCAUGCUUGACAACCCACCCCUCCACCCAGAUGAACAGAAACUGCUGGAACAAAACCUCAGCAGAGUUAGGGCGGAGCUGCCAUCAGACUGAAGCUGACCCACUGCGGGAUACACAGUCUAGUCCUUCCCCCACCCCCAUCCCCACCCUUCUUCUGGCCCUUCUCCUUCAGCCACUGGCUAGACAAACCCUUGCCCACUUGGCAUCUCCUGUCCAGUCUUCAGCUAACUCCUCAGGUGAGGAGGCAGUCAGCGCAUCUUGGCCCCGCUUCUUCCUCCUCAACACAGAUGGUACCAGACCCGGAUGUCCCCUCCUCUUACGUCCAGCGGGACGAGAAGGGUAAGCUCGCAGGUUCAGAAAUCAACAAACAUGUCAUCCACACAUACCGAGUGCCUACCACGUGCUGUGUCCUUUAUACACUCCGUUCAUUUAAUGCCCAGGACAACCCCAUGAGGUAGGUGCCCUCACCUCCAUGGUACAGAUGAGGAAACUGAGGCACAGAAAUGAAGCACCCGGCCCAAGGGACACAAUCUGUAAGUGCUAGCCAGAGCCAGCACCUAAGCCAGCUCGUGUCACUCUGGAGUCUUGAGCUGUUUCCAUCCCAGGCAACUCCGCUUCCACUCCUCCACCCUCAUCCCCACCUCAGGGCAGAGCCUCUGAGCACUCAGGAGAGCCCGGCCCAGGCGGUGGGGGCUUCGAGAGAAUGGAAAGACUUCAGCUUCUGUUUCUAACCGCUCAGGCCCGGGGGGUGGUCUGAUUUACCCUGGAUGUGAGGGAGUCAGAGGGCCUUUCCCAUGACGGGUUCUUUUGUCCUCUCCAAAAUUCAUCCGUUGACUCCUAACCCCCGGCAGGAGGGGCCUUGGUGGAACCCUCAGGAACGGGACUAGCGCUCUUAUAAAAGAGGCUCCAGAGAGAUCUCUGCCAUCUUCUGCCACGUGAGGACAGUGAGAAGGCACUGGCCGAAUCAGGACAAGACCGUGAACUUCACCAGAAUGUGACCAUGCCAGCACCAUGGGCUUGGGGUUGCAGCCUCCAGAAUGGAGAAUCAGAUGUCCUUUGUUCAUAACCUACCUGACCUGUGACAUUGUGUUAUAGCAGCCCAAAUGAGCUAAGACGGGAAGCCCUGUGUGCUUGGGGCUAAUAAAUGUGCAGGUCACCAUGCCAACUCUUGAAUGACCUCCAUGGUGACCACAUAACCUGGCUUCUCCCGAAUGGACCUAGCUUCUGGCAUCUCAUUGGUCACAGCAGAACCAAUUUAAGGGAGAAAAAAGAGGGAAAGGAAAGGAAGAGAAGAGAAGAGAAUUGAAGAGAAAAGAAAAGAGGAAGGAAAGGAAAAAGAGAAAGGAAGGAAAAGGGUCAGCGGGCACUGCUCUCUGGCAUCCCCCGCCUGCCUGCACCCCGACCCCAUCGCACUCUGCGUGUCAGAGGAAGUAAAACUGGUGCAGGCGGGCUCCCAACACACAGCAGUGAACCAGGAAGCCCCUGGAGGUAGGCUGCCUGAGUCUGGGUCCUGUCUCCACUACUCACCAGUUGACCAGGAGUACGAUGCCUCAGCUUCCUCACCUGUAAGUGGGGCUGGUGACUGUUUUCAGAGGGCUGCUGUGGGGCUAAAUGUAAUAUUAAACUUAGCACGGUGCCUGGCAUGUAGUUAGUGCUCAGUAUCUGUUAGCCACUAUAAUUAUGCCAAUAGGCCCUUGCUGACCAGGCCUCUUCCUUCAGGGAGCCUUCCUUGACCACCCCAGGCCAUAGCAACCCUUCCUCCUCUGAGUUCUCUGUCUCUGCCUUGUCUCCUUGUCUCUGCUACCAUCUGCCGUUCAGUCGCCUGCACCGAGUGCCUCCACUCUGAGGGCUCUGAGCCAGGCCUCAGGGUCAGAGGGACACGUCAGACAAUCACCCGAACUUUGUGCUGAGCAAUACUGAACGUUCAGGUGCUGCCUCUGUUCUGUCAAUCACUCCCUGUGGGGCCCAGGUCAGGAUGCUCCCCCAACCUGUGCUUCCGGGCCCGCCCCCAGCUGCACAGAGAAGCGUUUGGCCAGACCAGAAAAGCGGGAGGCAGAGCAGGCCCAAAUGUCUACGAUGGGUCUGGCAGAGCAGACGUCAAAUGGGGAGCUUCGGAGCAUGUGUUACGGGGGCAGGGAGCACCCCCUUCGCUGCUCCCUGCAGAUGUGUGGGCCCUGGGGGGCUG